GGCUAAGCAGUGCUCACUAUACCACAGGGCUGUGCAGACCUUUGAGGCCAACCGCACUCAACGUCAAGAAGAACAACGUGGUCAUAAGCAUUUGGA